rnacentral:lncRNA from 1 species
CACUACACCAUCACCAAGUCAAUUGAGUCCAAAAGAUCUCCUGAAAGAGUCUAUUGUUCGCACAGUACCUCAGUAAAUUAGUGAAAUGCCAAAAAAAAAACCACCUCCCAACGCCUGGAUUGAAAUUAAUGGAGACCAGGAAAUUUGGAACUACCUACCGGACAAUAACAAAAUAUUUUGUCGAAUAUGCCGAUAUAAGUACUCUUACAUGCCUCAUCACGAGUCUAACGAUACUUAAUAUCCUCGUUCUACAUCAAGAAUAUGAAUACAUACUAACAAAAUUUGACUCAUGAUGAUUCUAACAACUUUAUCACAUACCUCUUAAAGAUGCUAGUUUCCCAUAAUAGGUUGUCUAACAUCCAUUUCUUCGGGUUAAGAAUUGGGUAUACUCCAUGGAUUCCAACAUGUUAGAGUACAAUUUAAUGAAGAAAAGUAUAAGUUGUUUUAAAUACUGAACAUAUUAGAUUACGUUUUCUUUUCUCAGCUUUACAAAUUACUUAGAUGACGAAAAAUCAGGAUUCUACAUGGAAUGUGAAGUAUGAUAGGAAAAAGACGGAUUUUACUUCUACUCAUAAUUAGUAUAUUUUUUUCUUUAUAAAAAUGUCACAUAAUUUUUGUAUAUUUAUAAUUUACUUUGUCCCUAAUAAUUUGUUGAAUCCAUUUGUAAUAUUAAGUGUUAAUAACUUCAAUUUCGUAUCAUUUGUCCCUAACAAUUUGUUGAAUCCAUUUGUAAUAUUAAGUGUUAAUAACUUCAAUUUCGUAUCAUUUGUCCCUAACAAUUUGUUGAAUCCAUUUGUAAUAUUUAGUGUCGUUUGUUAUUAUGAAUUUGUUUCCGUUUCUGUGUAUAGUUACUAUUAAAUAUUUCGAACUAA